UGCUCCUUUAAAGCGCGCGCUGCGGUUAUGUUAACAGAACACGACUUAAAUGGAUAGGAUACCCCCAAAAUUAAAACUGUCGUUUACUCACCCUGAUGUUGUUCUAAACCUGUUUGACUUCCAUAUGAUGGGAAAAAAAACUAUGGAAGUCAAUGGGGCCCAUCAACUGUUUAGUUACCGACAUUCUUCAAAAUAUAUUUUUUUGUGUUCAGCAGAAGAAAUACAUUCAUACAGGUUUGGAACAACCUGAGGGUGAGUAAAUGAUGACAGGAGUUUCAUUUUUGGGUGAACUAUCCCUUUAAGCGCGCGCCCUAACAGAACGACCGUUAACGGCCGUUAUUAGCGUGAACGGAUUUUAAAUUUGACUCAUGUUUCUGACUGUUGUCUUCAUCGAGUCUACCUCACAUUUAAAACGUUGGUUUGAGAGGUGCUGAGCUGAGUGGACUACUUUGGCCUGACUACAGCGGAGGUUGGUUUGAGAGGUGCUGAGCUGAGUGGACUACUUUGGCCUGACUACAGCGGAGAUUGAGGUUGGAGUCCAGCUGACGGAGCUGUUGAAGGAAUCCAGCGUUGGGUAGAAUGUUCCGGUGGGCGCAAACCGUACUAAUGGCUUCUGCGAUUGUCUGUCAUCUACGUAGAGCCGCAUUUGUGUGUGAUUGUGUGAUGGAUGACUCAGAACAUUAAGCAGGAAGAGAAUGUAUUUCGACCACAGCAAAAAAAUACAACAACUUAAAAAAGACCUUGUUUUAAUUGAGAAAUUAAAUCCUGUAUCAAAUCAUGUAAUUCCAUUAUAUGUG